UCUCUAGUCAAGCAUGGUUUAUGGUGCCAAAUAAGUGCCAGGUGAACUCACUACAUCUGACAAAAUCUCAAGGAACCAAGUUUACCAGAUAAUAUUUAUGAUUAUGUGAAAAAGACUGAGGAAAUCACUCUAGUGAUCCAUCAUACAGCACCUCCAGUUCCAAAGAAUACUGACUUACUUCAGCUGUACUGGUCUGGAGCUGCACAUUCUUUUCAGACAACUCUUGUUCCAAUAAGUUCAGGUGACUCUUCUCCUGUAACAGAGCCUCCUUCUUAGAAACUAUGGCCUCCCGUUUCUUUAAGUCUUCUUCCAGCUCCUCUAAUUCUUGGCGUUGGUUCAGAACUUUCUCUACUUCUUCAUCUAACCAUUUCUUUUGCUCAUCCAAUUUCUACAUUAAAAUUUAAAAAAAAGUUACUUGUUUUUCCUUCUGCCAUAAAAAUUAUAUGGUAAUAAUAGAAUUUCAGAUUGGCUGAAAUCUCUUAAAUGAACAUUUAAAAACUAUCACUCAGAGUAACUCAGGUAGCCGUCUGAGAUCCUAAAGACAUCAGUGGUUCUAGUCAAGAUGUAGUUAUGUUGUUUUAUAAAGAGUUAAAAUUUACUCCCCAGAUAUGUUAAACAGUCUAGGAUUUUUUAGCCUGACAAAGAAAGGGCUGAUAAUUUUCUAUGCCUAUAUUAAGAACAUGCUGGAGUCUUUUACUCUGUUGUAGUGGUGCACAGUUCCAUCACAGCACUUACACUGGUGGCUGCCCUACUUAUCUAUCUCCCCGGCUUGAGCUCCUUGAUUGAUUGCAGGGGCUGUAGUUUUUACCCGUCUGUCCACAUGGCUGGUAUAUUGCCUGGGCCACAGUAGGCAUUCAAUAAAAUGUUAAAUGAAUAAGUGAAUGAAUGCCUGAUUCAGUCAGUCAAUGAAGUGAAUAAAUGAAUACACACAGUGGAAGACACAGAUGAUGGAGGAUGGAAGGAAAGCCAAUUUGCAUUGUAGCUUGUCAACCUCAAAUAAUUAUUUAAAAAAAAGAAAAAAGCAAAAAUAAAAAAUUGCUGAAAAGAUCUCCCAAACAA
rnacentral:antisense_RNA from 1 species